rnacentral:misc_RNA from 1 species
GAGUCGUAUCAAGUAAUCUCGGCUGUGUGUAGUUUCUGCUUUCUUUGGCAUCCACGGUGAGUCUUACCGCCCUUCUCGUCGGCCUUGUGAUAAUAGUCUGUUCUUGCGUGCUGGUACAUCCGCGCUGUCGUAGGCCUUCGUAUUGGAGAAACCCACUGAAGACCCAGGCACGCCGACGUAUACGUACCGGACAGGCCAGCCGACCCUCAGAGAAGUCAGUUAGAGCGCCGCGCCCCCCCCCCACCCACCCAUCCCUUUCUCAUGACUUCAGACCACAUCAGCGACAAGAGAUACCCAUAAAACAGGAAACGCUCCACCCACACCAUACAAGCGUAAUAAGUCAAAGAAAAAAAGCAAAUUGAUAGAUACCCCCCGCCCCGCCCCAUUUUUUCUUGUGCGCCCCUCCCCUUUCAUUUUCGCUGUUUUUGCUCUCUGUGCUGCUGCCCCACUUUGCACCCAUCAUCCGCCGCACCAACCUUCAUAGUCACACGCGCAGGGCGCUGGCACGCCCCUCUGCUGCGCUGCCCGUUUUUCUUGUGUUCAACUGUGUUUCUCGCCGCGCCGUGUAUGCGUUGCGUUUUGCAGUUUUUGCCUGGCUUGUGUCUCUUCUCCAUCAGCCGCCGUCGACAACACACACACGUGCGCGUACACGCCGCACCUACGUCACACAGGGCAAGGCGAGCGGAACGGACCAAAGUACGCACGCACGCACGCACGACACGGCCACAAAAGAAGAGGCAGGAACACAAGAAGGUAGACGACGACUGCCAUCGACACGCACGAACGCGCACCCCGCACAGAUAUCAAGCACGAGCAUUCAUCUGUCCCCUGUGCUUGUGUCCUUGUCUCUUUACCGAAUCGUGUGUGUCGGUGAGCCGCUGAUUUCUCUCUUCGACGACGCCCGCCUUCCCCAAGAGCCGUCUUCGCCUGUUCCUCAUAUAGACCUGUUAUUGGCACACACAACGCGGUUUCGAGCUCGCACGCCAUUGAUCGAAGAGAGAACACACAAGCGCAUAACGAGGGACUAGCCAAAAUAGACACCAUACGCGCACAUCAUACAUAUCAGAGGAAAGCCAAAGACGAACACGAAACAGCACCCACGCGUUGCACCUCCUUCGCACAAGCAUACACACUUGCGUACAACGACGACGGCCACAGCAGGGCGAGAACAUCCACAACAGGACUGCUGAAGGAAGGGAAAGACGUAGGCAACAUUGUCUUCACUUCCCUCUCGUAUUCAGCCUCUCGCUCUCCCCUGUUUGUUCGAGGCGGUGUAGUGUUCGUCUGCGCGUGCUCACGCCCGCGAGUGUGUGUCUUUCUCCCUCUCUUUGUGUCGUUUUGCCGUUUGCUGCAGAAGGAGGGACGAAAACGUCAGAGAGACCCCCUUUCCCCUUCCCCACCACACACAAAAAAAGAGAAAACAUUUUUCGGUUACUCUAUCUUCCGUUCUUUUUUUUUGGCCCCCUUCGUAAUACAAAAAUUUGAUACUCAUAGAAGACACACACACACAAGCUUCUCACACACAUCGUCGUUGUUGAAUCAGGCAUCCGUGCAGGCGUCUUGCGCCUCUCGUCUCUACGUGUAUUUUUUUGUUUUUUUUUUUUGUUUUUGUUUCCGUGUGAGCGCCGCUGCCUUCUCUCUUUCCGCCUGCCGUUGUGCCCCCUCCCCUCCCCAACCUCCCCCCCCAAACGCCGGUCCACAUUAUUUUAUUCUGGUUUUCUUUUUUUCGAUUUGUGUCUGUGUUCUUGUACACACGCACACACACAUAUAUAUAUAUAUAUAUAUACAUAUAUAUACACACACAAGGACGUUCUGUUGCACGUGAGUAGGAGGAGCGAAGGACGAGCGUGCGCUUCGUAGCCAGAACAGCGCGCCCACACACGCAUAUAUACUAACACAAACACAAAAAAAGCUAAUUUUGCACAGCCGCCUUGCCCUCUCAUCUCGCGCUCACCUUCCCCCUUCCUUGCCUAUACACUCACACACCCAAGACCGGCAGAGCGGCAGCCAUCUUACCCCUGUCCCUUCUCGCUCUCCGUCAUCUGCAGCUCUCUGCCGUAUCGUGGAUCAUCUUUUUGCCCUUAUUCGGUGCUGCGUGAGUGCUCCCCGCCUUUGACGUACCAUAGAAGCCGACAACGCUUUACGCGUUUGUAUCGGCGUGUCAGUGUUUGCACCUGUUGUGCCCGUUGUUUUUUCUUUUGUUUGUUUCUGUUUCUCUCCCUCUCACAUUCGGUUUCUGCCCCCUUCACAGUGUGUCCCCAACGUACCCCAUCAGCAAAAAUGGCGUACCGUCACGGCUCGCACCCCUGCCAUGGCUUCGACGAGCUCUCUGCAGCCCCAGCGGGGCGGCAGUGCUCCGUGUGCAAGGCGCUCUCAGACGGCUCGGAUGUGCGCUGGUUUGGCUGCGUGGGGUCUCCGUGUGAGUUCCUGCUGUGUGAGAAGUGCUUUUCGGUGCAGGAAGAGCUUCUGGCGCAGCCGCAGGUGGUAAUCCGCAACCCCAUGCUCGACUACGACGACGGAAGGGCGGCAGUGCACACUCGACCUCGCGAAAAGAGCUACCGUCUCUCGCCACUCUAUGCGGGACGACUACUGCGGGUUGUGAGCACUGCCGUUGACGCGUCUGACCCUUCGAGAGAGUACUACCGUAUUGCGUCCGGUGGCUGGAUCAAUCGGUCGCACGUUGUUUGUGUGCACCCCCACCCCAGCCCUAGCAUGCAGCUGCUUUCCGAGGUGCACCUCAACAACCGCAAACUCGGUGGUGAUAUUGCGAGUGGUGCGGUGAACAUCAACGUGCUGUACGACUUGCUGCAAGAGUGCAUGCAGACGAUUGAUGAGAACGAGGCCUACGGUAUUGUGAUGAGCGCGCUCGUCAUGUACCCGCUCUUGUCUACGCUGGAAAUUCAGUGCUGCCACUUCCGCACCGCGCCGGAUCCGCUACCGCUGGUAGAGUACGUUCACUUCGUGCUACACUUUGUGCUCACGAAGCUGAUAGAGCGCAUGGACAUGGAGGAGGCUCAAUUCGUCUUCAAACUCGUGGAUGGCGCGAUGGCGUUCCUCUUCGGUGACGUGCUCGCUCGAUGCCUCUGCGCCGCCUACCACCUCGCCUGCACCUGGAAGGUGCGGCUGCCGUCCUCCUUUGCAUACCUCGUCUCCCGUGCGCUCGCUGCCAUGAACCGCCUCCUGCGCUUGCUCCCGGAGGAGGCGUCGGAGCAGCCACCCGUCCUCUGCGCGCCUGCAGUGACCGUGAUUCAUCACAGCAAGAGCGUUGAGCGACAGCGACUCGGCCGUCUCUUCCUCACCAUGACGGACAUGGGUAGCUGCUUGCUGCAACACUGCAUCCGCGAGACUCGCCUAGACCUCGAUGUGCUGCAGCCCAUCCGCGAUCAGCUGUGCGGUGACCACAAGCACCACCUCUCCAAGGUGUUCUGUGAGGCGCUCGCCACGAUGGCAGAGGUGGACCUGCUGCGCGUGCAGCGCACCUAUCUCCACCUCGACGCCCUCGAGGUGUUGGGCGGCCUGGCCGCCAACACUUGCCUGGCCGAGUCCCAGAUAGCUGUUUUCCGCGUUGCGCAGUACCUCGCCAAACAGUGUCCGCACAACAUCGCGAUGCUCAGCGCCGUUCUCUUAGAUAGGCUGCUCAAGAUGCUCUCUGAAACGCAGAGCCCCGCCGUUUAUGUGGAGUCGAUGGCGUGUUUUUAUGAAAUGGCCUUCAACGACCCCCGCAUGCGCGGCGCCGAGGGAGGCGCGAGUGAGACGCCGCAGCCCCAACCACACACCUGCACGGCACAAGCCGUCACCACCGGCGACGCACCACAGAAGAAGGCCAGCACCCCCUAUCAGUUGCUGUGUAUGUACCGCCUGCCCUUCAGCGGUGUCUUGGUGCCGCUGUGCUCGUACUGCUCUGCGCAUCACCCGCCCAGCGGUGGGGAACUCGUGGAGCGCCCGCAGUACGCGUACUUCCAGUGUGGCUGCCACCACUGCGCUACUGAGACCACGCGCAGCGCCGCUCGAGCACCGCCGUUGCCGAUAAUCCCGCAGACAACGGCACUGAGCAUACUGGAGGAGCAUCUGCCCAGCAAGGUGCUUGCCCUCUCCACCUAUCUGCAGAUACCGCAGGCCUUGAACGCGCUUGGUCGACUUCUCCUCCGCGUACCGCCGCAGGACGAGGUGCUGGUGCGGAUAAUCGAGGAGCUCGUGCGCUACCCCUCUCUUGAGUCCGUGCCCUACGCUGCCCUUGUGGUGAAGGCGAAUAUGCACCUGCCCUCAGUGGAGCAAUGCUUGGCUAGGUUCGUCAACACGGAACUGAGUCGGUACGUCCACGGCGUUUUCGAAGUGGCGACCCCGGCCAAGAACUACGUAGACGAGACGCCGGCGAAGAGCCAUCAGCGCAGUGAGCUCGGCCUCUCCGCCUCGCCCUACACGAACUCCACCGUGCAGAGCGGGUCGAUGUACGAUAUGCGCGGCGGCUUCUCCUGCUCGUGUGACGGUGCACGUGGAGUCCAGCUCUUCGGCGCUGGUGCCUCCUUAGAGGAGUAGUGCCCGCCCACGGCUCUGUCGGGAGGAGGGUGCGAUGGCUUCUAGUGAUGGCCGCACCCUGCUGAAGCAAUGAUGCCAGCAGAGAACGCUGCACAGGAACGCUUGCUGUGGAUUUCCCUUUUUUCUUCCUUCUUGUUUCUUUGCCUUACCUUAG